rnacentral:rRNA from 1 species
GGACGAACGCUGGCGGCGUGCCUAAUACAUGCAAGUCGAGCGAAUYRAUGGGAGCUUGCUCCCUGAGAUUAGCGGCGGACGGGUGAGUAACACGUGGGCAACCUGCCCUGCAGAUGGGGAUAACUCCGGGAAACCGGGGCUAAUACCGAAUAAUCAGUUCCUCCGCAUGGAGGAACUCUGAAAGACGGUUUCGGCUGUCACUGCAGGAUGGGCCCGCGGCGCAUUAGCUAGUUGGUGGGAUAACGGCCUACCAAGGCGACGAUGCGUAGCCGACCUGAGAGGGUGAUCGGCCACACUGGGACUGAGACACGGCCCAGACUCCUACGGGAGGCAGCAGUAGGGAAUCUUCCACAAUGGACGAAAGUCUGAUGGAGCAACGCCGCGUGAGCGAAGAAGGUUUUCGGAUCGUAAAGCUCUGUUGCGAGGGAAGAACAAGUACGGGAGUAACUGCCCGUACCUUGACGGUACCUCGUUAGAAAGCCACGGCUAACUAC